UUGAGUCGACCCCUAAGGCGAGGCCGAGAGGCGUAGUCGAUGGGAAAUUGGUUAAUAUUCCAAUACUUCUAUGUAAUGCGAUGAGAGGACGGAGAAGGUUAAGUCAGCCUGGCGUUGGUUGUCCAGGUGGAAGGUUGUAGGCAUGUAUCUUAGGCAAAUCCGGGGUACUCUAUGCUGAGAACUGAUAGCAAGCUGUACUUGUACAGUGAAGUGGCUGAUACCAUGCUUCCAGGAAAAGUCUCUAAGCUUCAGUUACAUAGGAAUCGUACCCGAAACCGACACAGGUGGUCAGGUCGAGUAGACCAAAGCGCUUGAGAGAACUCUGCUGAAGGAACUAGGCAAAAUGGUACCGUAACUUCGGGAGAAGGUACGCUGCCGACGGUGAUAGGAUUUACUCCUUGAGCUAUUGGCAGCCACAGAAACCAGGCCCCUGCAACUGUUUAUUAAAAACAUAGCACUCUGCAAACACGAAAGUGGACGUAUAGGGUGUGAUGCCUGCCCGGUGCUGGAAGGUUAAUUGAUGGGGUUAGCGUAAGCGAAGCUCUUGAUCGAAGCCCCAGAAAACGGCGGCCGUAACGAUAACGGUCCUAAGGUAGCGAAAUUUCUUGUCGGGUAAGUUCCGACCUGCACGAAUGGCAUAAUGAUGGGGGCGCUGUCUCCAGCAGAGACUCAGUGAAAUCGUAUUCGCCGUGAAGAUGCGGUGUACCCGCGGCUAGACGGAAAGACCCCGUGAACCUUUACUGCAGCUUGACGUUGAACUUUGAUCUUACUUGUGUAGGAUAGGUGGGAGGCUUUGAAACCGAGACGCUAGUUUCGGUGGAGCCAAUCUUGAAAUACCACCCUGGUAAUAUUGAGGUUCUAACUCUGUCCCGUUAUCCGGGACGAGGACCAUGUCUGGUGGGUAGUUUGACUGGGGCGGUCUCCUCCUAAAGAGUAACGGAGGAGUACGAAGGUGCGCUCAGCGUGGUCGGAAAUCACGCGUAGAGUAUAAAGGCAAAAGCGCGCUUAACUGCGAGACCCACAAGUCGAGCAGGUACGAAAGUAGGUCUUAGUGAUCCGGUGGUUCUGUAUGGAAGGGCCAUCGCUCAACGGAUAAAAGGUACUCUGGGGAUAACAGGCUGAUACCGCCCAAGAGUUCAUAUCGACGGCGGUGUUUGGCACCUCGAUGUCGGCUCACCUCAUCCUGGGGCUGAAGCAGGUCCCAAGGGUAUGGCUGUUCGCCAUUUAAAGAGGUACGCGAGCUGGGUUUAGAACGUCGUGAGACAGUUCGGUCCCUAUCUACCGUGGGCGUUGGAAAUUUGAGAGGAUCUGCUCCUAGUACGAGAGGACCAGAGUGGACGAACCUCUGGUGUACCGGUUGUGACGCCAGUCGCAUCGCCGGGUAGCUAUGUUCGGAAGGGAUAACCGCUGAAAGCAUCUAAGCGGGAAGCCUACCUCAAGAUAAGAUUUCCCUAGGACUUUAUGUCCUCUAAAGAGCCGUUGAAGACUACGACGUUGAUAGGUUGGAUGUGGAAGCAUAGUGAUAUGUGAAGCUGACCAAUACUAAUUGCUCGUGAGGCUUGACC
rnacentral:rRNA from 1 species